UGUCUACAGGAUAUCAUUAUUGCAUCAGAUCCCAUUAGAAAUUUGUAGUUAACAACACUCGGGAUAGAGUAGUACUGGAAUUGGAGACCACUCGAGAAGUCUUAGUGUUUUACAUUC
rnacentral:rRNA from 1 species